UUGAAUACAUGAGUUUUUAAUAUAAUCAAUCAAACAUAAAGAAAGAAGGCAAAUUACUUAACUAAUAGGAUAAUAAUCACAGUUAGCCCAUCACCGGCUAGAAUGAAAAUAUGAACUGUAUUUUAUCUUAUUUUGAUUGGAUGGAUACAUACAACAUUGGUCAUUGAAAUCCAUGAUAUUCAAUAAAAAUAUAAGUCAAAGUGUGUAUAUAAACAUCUUUAAGUGUUUCAUUUUUUCAGAAAACAAAUUCAUUUACCAAAAUUUAAAUGAAACAAUAAUUGAAUAGAUAAGAAGAAGAAGAAGAAGAAGAAGAAGAAGAAAUAAUAGUGAUGCGGAAACAGAUGGGAAAAAGAGUACGAUGGAUGCAUACGGCUUACAACAGCGAGAAUCACGGCAGCAACCCAAUCCCAUAACACAGAAAAACAAAGAGAUGCUGUCUUUUUCGAUUAUAUGCGAAACCUAAAUCCUAAUUAAAAUAUUAACUCACACUUUUAUUAUAUUAUGAACUAAUGC
rnacentral:lncRNA from 1 species